rnacentral:rRNA from 1 species
GUAGGUGGCAAGCGUUGUCCGGAAUUAUUGGGCGUAAAGCGCGCGCAGGCGGUUCUUUAAGUCUGACGUGAAAGCCCACGGCUCAACCGUGGAGGGUCAUUGGAAACUGGAGAACUUGAGUACAGAAGAGGAAAGCGGAAUUCCACGUGUAGCGGUGAAAUGCGUAGAGAUGUGGAGGAACACCAGUGGCGAAGGCGGCUUUCUGGUCUGUAACUGACGCUGAGGCGCGAAAGCGUGGGGAGCAAACAGGAUUAGAUACCCUGGUAGUCCACGCCGUAAACGAUGAGUGCUAAGUGUUAGGGGGGUUUUCCGCCCCCCUUAGUGCUGCAGCUAACGCAUUAAGCACUCCGCCUGGGAGUACGGCCGCAAGGCUG